GAUGAACGCUGGCGGCGUGCCUAAUACAUGCAAGUCGAGCGAACAGACGAGGAGCUUGCUCCUCUGACGUUAGCGGCGGACGGGUGAGUAACACGUGGAUAACCUACCUAUCAGACUGGGAUAACUUCGGGAAACCGGCGCUAAUACCGGAUAAUAUAUUGAACCGCAUGGUUCAAUAGUGAAAGACGGUUUUGCUGUCACUUAUAGAUGGAUCCGCGCCGCAUUAGCUAGUUGGUAAGGUAACGGCUUACCAAGGCAACGAUGCGUAGCCGAACUGAGAGGGGGAUAGGCCACACUGGAACUGAGACACGGUCAAGACUCCUAAGGGAGGCAGCAGUAGGGAAUCUGCCGCAAUGGGCGAAAGCCUGACGGAGCAACGCCGCGUGAGUGAUGAAGGUCUUCGGAUCGUAAAACUCUGUUAUUAGGGAAGAACAAAUGUGUAAGUAACUAUGCACGUCUUGACGGUACCUAAUCAGAAAGCCACGGCUAACUACGUG
rnacentral:rRNA from 1 species